rnacentral:rRNA from 1 species
GACGAACGCUGGCGGCGUGCUUAACACAUGCAAGUCGAGCGGAAAGGCCACUUCGGUGGUACUCGAGCGGCGAACGGGUGAGUAACACGUGAGUAAUCUGCCCCUGGCUUUGGGAUAGCCACCGGAAACGGUGAUUAAUACCGGAUACGACCACUUCUCGCAUGGGAUGGUGGUGGAAAGUUUUUUCGGCCAGGGAUGUGCUCGCGGCCUAUCAGCUUGAUGGUGAGGUAAUGGCUCACCAUGGCUUCGACGGGUAGCCGGCCUGAGAGGGUGACCGGGAACACUGGGACUGAGAAAGGGGCCAGACUCCUACGGGAGGCAGAAGUGAGGAAGAUUGGACGAUGGGCGGAAGCCUGAGCCAGCAACGCCGCGGGAGGGAGGACGGCCUUCGGGUUGUAAACCUCUUUCAGCAGGGACGAAGCGCAAGCGACGGUACCUGCAGAAGAAGCACCGGCCAACUACGUGCCAGCCGCCGCAGUAA